rnacentral:rRNA from 1 species
CGGGUGAGUAACGCGUGGGAAUCUACCUGAUAGUUGGGGAUAGCCCGGAGAAAUCCGGAUUAAUACCGAAUAAGAUCUACGGAUGAAAAGGUGCCUCUGCUUGCAAGCACUUGCUAACAGAUGAGCCCGCGUUAGAUUAGUUUGUUGGUGGGGUAAAGGCCUACCAAGACUACGAUCUAUAGCUGGUUUGAGAGGAUGAUCAGCCACAUUGGGACUGAGACACGGCCCAG